AUUGAACGCUGGCGGCAGGCCUAACACAUGCAAGUCGAACGAGUGGCGGACGGGUGAGUAAUGUCUGGGAAACUGCCUGAUGGAGGGGGAUCACUACUGGAAACGGUAGCUAAUACCGCAUACCAUCGGAUGUGCCCAGAUGGGAUUAGCUAGUAGGUGGGGUAACGGCUCACCUAGGCGACGAUCCCUAGCUGGUCUGCGAGGAUGACCAGCCAAACUGGAACUGAGACACGGUCCAGACUCAUGCGGGAGGCAGCAGUGGGGAAUAUUGCACAAUGGGCGCAAGCCUGAUGCAGCCAUGCCGCGUGGAUGAAGAAGGCCGUCGGGUUGUAGAGUACUUUCAGCGGGGAGGCGUUACCCGCAGAAGAAGGACCGGCUAACUCCGUGCCAGCAGCCGCGGUAAUUC
rnacentral:rRNA from 1 species